rnacentral:tRNA from 1 species
GGGCCCGUAGUCUAGCGGUAGGACGCCGGCCUGGCUCGCCGGAGGUCCCGGGUUCGAAUCCCGGCGGGUCCA